UCUCUACUUGCGUAGGCAGUCUCACUAGAGUCCCCAACUGAAUGAUGGCAACUAAGGGCGAGGGUUGCGCUCGUUGCGGGACUUAACCCAACAUCUCACGACACGAGCUGACGACAGCCAUGCAGCACCUGUGUCCACUUUCCCUUUCGGGCACCUAAUGCAUCUCUGCUUCGUUAGUGGCAUGUCAAGGGUAGGUAAGGUUUUUCGCGUUGCAUCGAAUUAAUCCACAUCGUCCACCGCUUGUGCGGGUCCCCGUCAAUUCCUUUGAGUUUUAAUCUUGCGACCGUACUCCCCAGGCGGUCGACUUCACGCGUUAGCUACGGUACCAAGGAAUCGCUUCCCCAACACCUAGUCGACAUCGUUUAGGGCGUGGACUAC
rnacentral:misc_RNA from 1 species